rnacentral:rRNA from 2 species
CAGGCCUAACACAUGCAAGUCGAGCGGACAGAUGGGAGCUUGCUCCCUGAAGUCAGCGGCGGACGGGUGAGUAACACGUGGGCAACCUGCCUGUAAGACUGGGAUAACUCCGGGAAACCGGGGCUAAUACCGGAUAAUUCUUUUCCUCACAUGAGGGAAAGCUGAAAGAUGGUUUCGGCUAUCACUUACAGAUGGGCCCGCGGCGCAUUAGCUAGUUGGUGAGGUAACGGCUCACCAAGGCAACGAUGCGUAGCCGACCUGAGAGGGUGAUCGGCCACACUGGGACUGAGACACGGCCCAGACUCCUACGGGAGGCAGCAGUAGGGAAUCUUCCGCAAUGGACGAAAGUCUGACGGAGCAACGCCGCGUGAGUGAUGAAGGUUUUCGGAUCGUAAAACUCUGUUGUUAGGGAAGAACAAGUACCGGAGUAACUGCCGGUACCUUGACGGUACCUAACCAGAAAGCCACGGCUAACUACGUGCCAGCAGCCGCGGUAAUACGUAGGUGGCAAGCGUUGUCCGGAAUUAUUGGGCGUAAAGCGCGCGCAGGCGGUUCCUUAAGUCUGAUGUGAAAGCCCCCGGCUCAACCGGGGAGGGUCAUUGGAAACUGGGGAACUUGAGUGCAGAAGAGAAGAGUGGAAUUCCACGUGUAGCGGUGAAAUGCGUAGAGAUGUGGAG